AUAUGGGCCACAUUGAAGUCUUGUUAAAAUGCUUAUACUAUCUCAGAGGGUUUGAGGUGGGUGCAGAGAUUUUGUAUUUCUAACAAGUUUUCAAGUGAUGCCAAU
rnacentral:pre_miRNA from 1 species